rnacentral:lncRNA from 1 species
GUUCCACCCUGGCCAAGCAGGAGCCAAGCACUGUGGCCAUUGGGACAGGUUCUAGAAUGGGGCCUUAGAAACCCUCCUGGGAACUCUGGCUGGAGCCUGGGGGAGAAGGCAGAUCCUCCACACACUGCUCAGCUGCCGGGCCCAUGCCCUCGCCAUGAACAGGGAGUGCCUGGAAUGAUGCUGGCGUAAACCGAGGAAGCAGUGCCUGCACGAGAGGAAGGGACAAUGGCACCGGCAGAGCUCCUGGGUCCAGCCAUGCUGAAAGGCACGAGAGUCCUCACCUGCGAGUUUCUGUCUCACACAGCUUAGAGUCCCCAAGAACAUACUUGGAGAUGUGUACAGAGGAACAGGAAUAGCUUCAUGAGGUAACUUUGCUUGCAUACUGGGAGAGAUGGUGGUAGAGGUAUUGGUGGAUGGGUGGGAGGGUGGGUGGGUGGAUGGAUGGAUCGGUGGGUGGGUGGAUGGAUGG